rnacentral:rRNA from 1 species
AUUGAACGCUGGCGGCAGGCCUAACACAUGCAAGUCGAACGGUAACAGGAAACAGCUUGCUGUUUCGCUGACGAGUGGCGGACGGGUGAGUAAUGUCUGGGAAACUGCCUGAUGGAGGGGGAUAACUACUGGAAACGGUAGCUAAUACCGCAUAACGUCGCAAGACCAAAGAGGGGGACCUUCGGGCCUCUUGCCAUCGGAUGUGCCCAGAUGGGAUUAGCUAGUAGGUGGGGUAACGGCUCACCUAGGCGACGAUCCCUAGCUGGUCUGAGAGGAUGACCAGCCACACUGGAACUGAGACACGGUCCAGACUCCUACGGGAGGCAGCAGUGGGGAAUAUUGCACAAUGGGCGCAAGCCUGAUGCAGCCAUGCCGCGUGUAUGAAGAAGGCCUUCGGGUUGUAAAGUACUUUCAGCGGGGAGGAAGGGAGUAAAGUUAAUACCUUUGCUCAUUGACGUUACCCGCAGAAGAAGCACCGGCUAACUCCGUGCCAGCAGCCGCGGUAAUACGGAGGGUGCAAGCGUUAAUCGGAAUUACUGGGCGUAAAGCGCACGCAGGCGGUUUGUUAAGUCAGAUGUGAAAUCCCCGGGCUCAACCUGGGAACUGCAUCUGAUACUGGCAAGCUUUGAGUCUCGUAGAGGGGGGUAGAAUUCCAGGUGUAGCGGUGAAAUGCGUAGAGAUCUGGAGGAAUACCGGUGGCGAAAGGCGUGCCCCCUGGACGAAGAAUGAUGUUCAGGGGCAAAAGUGUGGGGGAGUAAACAGGAUAGAUACCCGGGACCCCAUGGCUGACUUCACAUUCGGAGAUCAAGCCUAUCGUACUCUCCGACUUUUGCGACGGGCCCCUGAUCUUCCAUUUGUUCCUCUAAGGACGGUUCACUAUCCUUUUUCCCUUGUUUGUUCCCUGUGUCUUA